rnacentral:misc_RNA from 1 species
GAUGAAGAACGCAGCGAAAUGCGAUAAGUAAUGUGAAUUGCAGAAUUCCGUGAAUCAUCGAAUCUUUGAACGCACAUUGCGCCCCCUGGCAUUCCGGGGGGCAUGCCUGUCCGAGCGUCAUUUCUGCCCUCCAGCCCGGCUGGGUGUUGGGCGCUGUCCCCCCGGGGACACGCCCCAAAGGCAGUGGCGGCGCCGCGUCGGGUCCUCGAGCGUAUGGGGCUUUGUCACCCGCUCGGGACGGACUCGUCGGCGCUGGUCUUCCUCCAGGCGACCCUUCGGGGCUCGUCUUCCUUCGGUUGACCUCGGAUCAGGUAGGGUUACCCGCUGAACUUAAGCAUAUCAAUAACGGAGGA